rnacentral:rRNA from 1 species
CGAACGCUGGCGGCGUGCUUAACACAUGCAAGUCGAACGCGAACGCUUCUCUUCGGAGAGGUUAGUAGAGUGGCAGACGGGUGAGUAACACGUGGGUAACCUACCCCGAGGCGGGGGAUAACCACUGGAAACGGUGGCUAAUACCGCAUGAGACCACGACCCUUCGGGGUCAUGGUUAAAGGCUUCGGCCACCUUGGGAGGGGCCCGCGGCCGAUUAGCUAGUUGGUGAGGUAACGGCUCACCAAGGCGACGAUCGGUAGCUGGUCUGAGAGGAUGAUCAGCCACACUGGUACUGAGACACGGACCAGACUCCUACGGGAGGCAGCAGUGGGGAAUAUUGCGCAAUGGACGAAAGUCUGACGCAGCAACGCCGCGUGGGUGAUGAAGGCCUUCGGGUCGUAAAGCCCUGUCAGGAGGGAAGAACCAGGUCCUUCGGGGCCUCUGACGGUACCUCCAAAGGAAGCACCGGCUAACUCC